UCCUUGUUGGCUCAGAUGGUAAAGAAUCUGCCUGCAAUGUAGGAGACCGAGGUUCAAUCCCUGGAUUGGGAC
rnacentral:tRNA from 1 species